UCUGGAGGAGGCUUUUCGUGUGUGUAAUUUGCUGCAGGAGUUGAUGCAAUUUUUUUCCUUCCUCCUUCCGUUCCAGAAAGGGAAACAGGAUGGUUUGGUGGCUCUUAAUUCAUUUUACCUUAUUCCGCUUUUAAGUGAUAAAAAUCAUGAUGCUGCCGGGCUUGAAUUGUUUGGGAAAGCGUAAAAAUGUAAUCUUUCUAAUGCAGUAGAUAAAGAGUGUCACUCACAUUUUGAAAUCUACUUCCCGAAUAAUGCAUAAGAAGAAACUCUGGACACAGGAACGCUUUUGAUUUUAACAGGUUUUGUUGGCCAGGGGAUGCACUACCCAAAAGAAACUCCUUGCUAUUUCCUCCUAAAAAUAGACAUGCAACAUAAAUAAUCUUUUUCUAUGUACAUAGCUUGAAUUUCCAAACUUGAGAGAACUUGGACAAAUUUGUUCUCACAUAAGUUGCUUUGCACUAAACAUCUUAAUUAUAUUACUGAUUUAAUUCCCACAGUGCUCCCCAGAAAUGCUAGUAAGACUUCAUCAUGAUCAUCAUUUUAGCCACUGUCUAUCUGCAUGUUUCCAACCAAUACGGUCCUGAGCUUUCUUUUAUCAAUUGGGCCAGCAAUACUUCACACUCCACUGAUUUGAAUGGGAGCAAUAAGGAAUGACCCAAGAUAACCAUUGGAUGAUGGUGGACCUACCUGAGAAGACGAAUCGUGACAGCCAAGGAAAAAAAAGGACAUUCAGGAUUUUGUUUUGCCCUUGGCCCAGAGGCUGCUGUUAAUAAAAGAAGGAUCACCCAUCUGUUUUGAUUUUAAAGAGUGCCAGUAAGAUUUUUAACCAAUCGGUGAAAGGUUAUAUUAAAACCACAUAAUACUAAAUGUCUAAGAUCUUGCCUGCAAGAAAAUCUGGAAAGGGAGCAAGAUUGCACAAAGAUCUCGGACUGUGCUACAAGAAGAUUGCCAGGAUAAGAGUUCAGCCUUCAAAAGUAAAAUGCACUCUUUUCCAACUUGGCACCUUUCAAAUGUUUAGGGAUGACUACAGUAACUAGAAAAUAUGGAUAUGGAUUUUGUAAUAUAUUUGGGGAGUGUCACUUCAGGCAAGGGAAUCAAACAUCUGAAGCAAUUCCUUGGCUCAAUAAUUUUGUGUGCACUUAAAGAGCUACUAAUAUGAAGUUCACUCCUUCGCCAAUUGUAUUCCAUUUGCCUUAAUGUGGCAGUCCUUAUAUCAGUUGCAUGUGUGAAGGGCUCAUGAGAUAAUCAUGGUUUCUGUCCUCCAUUGGCACUGUCAAAUAUUCUCAGUGCGAUCCUUGAUUCCUAAGUAGGAAUGCCCAUCCUUUCAGAUCUCAUAGGAUGGACAGAGAAAGUAAGCCUGUCCUGUGUAUAAGGGCUUUAUAGGUGGCAACCAGCACAUGAAUUGCACUUGGAAACCUACUAGAAACCAGUGGUGCAAUGGUAUGCCCCUAAUUCUCCAUGCUGCUGCAGUUUGGAUUGGUUGCAGCUUCUGAAUAAUCUUCAGAGAUGAUUCUCUUAGUAAUCUAUGGAAGAUCUGUGCAGAAUAUAUUGCAAAAGAAUGAGAAGAGACUAUAUGUAGCUCAUGGUUAAAUUGGGAAGAUUUUUUGUCCUCUCUGAGAGUUGUUUAUCUACAGAUGUUACCUAGUUGGGUAAUGAAAUAUCUGAAAACAAACAACUGAGCUCAGAAAGUAUCAAGGGGCUAACCAUCUUGAACUCUUCCCAGUAACUGAACCAGAACCUCCACAGCCAGAGUCCAACUCAGACUGGAUCCAAACAACUUUAUUCAAUAGAUAUCUCAAAUAAUAUUGAUAACAGGCUACAAAUGUUCUUCUGAACCUUCCCUACCAUGGAGGUACCAAAUCAUUUUAAGUAGAACCACCAGCCAGCUAUCUGCAUAUAUGACAAGGGUGGGAAAAUAAUUGCAUUUUGCUGCCCUUAUUGUCACAGAGUAAUCCUUAAUAAAGGCUUUUAUCCAUGCUCAGAUUUGUUAUUCUUUCUCUUCCAGCAGUA